CUCGCUCUGUUUGACAGGUAUGGAGCUCAGCCUAAGAGGUCAGAGGCCCCCACCUCUUGGCUGGAGUCACAGCAAUUACACCUACUAGCAAUCAGAGACUGUGCUACUGAUGUUUUCCAUGCAUGAUCUUGCUGACUCCUCAAAUGCAUGUGCAAAAAGGGUAUUUAUAUAAGAAAUAAUAUGAGUGAAGAAUUACUUUAUAAAUAGAAAGGUGAAGGUCAGAGGCAUUAUGUGACAUGAUGGAGGUCCCCAGGGCUAGUCCCUAGGGCCUGUCCCUUGGAAGACCAGACCCUUUCUUCUUGAGGCAUGUGGACCCUCCCCUCCCAUACGGGCCUCAGCUGGAAGAUGAGCCAGGAUUCUGAGCCCAAGACCCACACUGAAAGGAUUACCGUCGUGGUUCAAUUAUCCAGCAGGUCCGGUGGUGGAGACAGGCCCCCUGAGAGAGGUGAGAACUUAAAAAUGCCUGCUCACCUCCUUGGGCACCGAGAAAGCCCCCUUCACACCCAGAAUGGCUCCCCAGGUGCUUCCCCUCGUCUGGGGCUGAAUUAGGGGAGCUGCAGCCUGCGAGCUCCUCAGGUCACCUGUACACUCAGUGAUCUCAGUGGUGAAGACUCCGAUGUCUCAACUCAAGCUUCAGACUGAUAUGCUGACAGGAGAGCGGCACAUUGAGGGUUUCCAAGGCUCUCGCCCCAUCUCUCCUUGGUGCACUGGGUGAGACAAUCGAGAUGCUGUUGUAGCCAGCAGCAACCAGUGCCAAGCGGGGCUUAGAAUUUGGGACAGUGAGUUGACGAUGCUUCAAACCAUGCAGAUGACCUACCUACACUCAGAGACCGCCGGAGGGUGUGUACACAUAGAUACACAAACACCAGGCUGCCAAUCAAGCUCUGCUUUCCACCGGAUAAAGGAAUCACAAAAACAAAAAACAUAAGUUUCCCUAGUGCUACAGUGGAUAAGAAUCUGCCUGUCAAUGCAAGAAGGAGAGACGGGUUUGAUCCCUAGUCUGGGAAGAUUCCACAUGCGGUGAAGCAACUAAGCCUGUGCCUAUGCUCUAGAGCCUGGGAGCCACAAGUCCUGAGCCCACGAGCCCCAGCUGCUGAAGCCCGGGAGGCUAGAGCCCCUGCUCCACCGCAAGAAGCCCAAGAGAGCAGACUCUGCACCUAGAGAGUAGACCCCGCUCGCCACAACUAAAGAAGCCUGCACAGCAACAAAGACCCAGAACAGCUUAAAUAAAUAAACAAAUCUCGAAAACAAAGGCAAAGCUGUAGGUCCAUCCACCAUGGAAAUGAUAUUAAGUCGUUGGUCUACAAGUCAAGGAAGAGAGUGGCCUAGGCCGCGGUCAGAAAUGCGCGAACCUCCUCGCUGGAGUUUCUGGGGUCUCUGGGGCCCCUGACUCUGUGACUCUCAGGCUUUGCCCCAGCGGAGGGCAGGAGAAAAUAAAAGCGUUCUGGGCUUGCGCAUCUCUCAGGCGAGAGCCAUAAAAUAUGGAUAUGCAUACGUUGGGUUACACAUUAGCAACUGACAACUGCACAUCAGAAAAAAAAAAAAAGGUGUCCUUCCUCGGCGCAGAACGUGACGGAAGAAUCCGGAACGGGUAAAGAAAAAAGAGCCGUGCACGGGAGAACCGUUUCAUUUCAUUCCUUAUAUGUACAAACAUGAAUAAUUUGACAUGAUGUUUAGACAGUUUCUCCCUAACUUAAGUCUUUUAAUUAAAAUGAAAGGAAGGGAAUAUGCUUUAAAUAUGAAUGCGGGAAGGUGUGGGCUGGCACGCUUGCCCACGUGCCCCUCUCCCUCCGUCUUUCGAGAACACAAUAAACUCUCCUCUUGCUCUGCUGUCUUUUCAUAAUGUUUACGGCUGUUGUAGGCACCACAUAACCCGUGCUGUUUGUGAUGCUCCCCAUAUUAAGUGAGAGCGCGUCCCUUCCUCUGCUAUUUACUUUUGUGGCAAAUCAGUCAAUGUAUUUUCCUCGACUCGCCAGGCAAUAACGCAGGGCUGCCUGUGGCCGUAAAGGUAAAUGCUAACUUUUCAACCAGUGCCAAACGGCACGCCCCGGGCUGAGCGCCGAGUGAAUGAGAGGAGUAUAUUCUGGGCUGAAAAAUGGGCUCGGAUGUUAGCCCUCAUAAAUUACAUGAUUAUUAAAAUACUGCGCAGUCCAGCCCAUAUGAUUUCAUUUUACCUUCCACCGGCUCCCCGUUGACGGCUCCACUUUGUUUUCCGCGCGCUUAACUUGGGAAAUGCUAAACAAGUUGUGAUAUUUACCUGUUUAGGAUCAAAUUGCGAAAUGAUCUGCUUAGUUCUGUUCUAAAUUAAGGUCUGCGUGAAAUGUCAUAGCAUUUAUCUUUCAUAAAAUGAGACAGCAAGGACACUAAUUUCCUAGGUAUUCAAUCACUGCCCCGAGCCACUUGAGAGACAGCCCAGAAGCAGGCCUGCCCACAGUUCACAGCUCGCUGACAGCCCUGAGAUGGAAUCAUAAAAGUCAAUUAAUCAUUAAAAGCUGUUACAAGCACAUAUCGAACCAGUCUGGCACAAAAUGUUAAUCAGUCCAAUAUCAAUAUAAUAAAUUCCCGCAAAUUGGAGCGAUCGAUACAUUUAGGACCUAAUGAAUCAAUCGGGGGAUGCCGGGCCGCUCCUUGGGGUCCCGGUGACAUGGCAGCCGGGCAAGUGCGACGUCUCUAGGCUCGCUGCCAACAGAGGUCACCUCUCCUAACAGGCUGUUCACUUCAGCCGCAGUUACCACGGUGACAGCAUGUCACCGCUGCCCCAGUGUCCUUCUAGGUGAGGU